AGACUACUCCCUCCGUCCGGAAAUACUUGUCAUCAAAAUGAAUAAAAGGGGAUGUAUCUAGAUGUAUUUUAGUUCUAGAUACAUCCCUUUUUGUCCAUUUUGAUGACAAGUAUUUUCGGACGAAGGGAGUAUACG
rnacentral:pre_miRNA from 1 species